AGUGAACGCUGGCGGUAGGCCUAACACAUGCAAGUCGAACGGCAGCACAGGAGAGCUUGCUCUCUGGGUGGCGAGUGGCGGACGGGUGAGGAAUACAUCGGAAUCUGCUCUGUCGUGGGGGAUAACGUAGGGAAACUUACGCUAAUACCGCAUACGACCUACGGGUGAAAGCAGGGGAUCUUCGGACCUUGCGCGAUUGAAUGAGCCGAUGUCGGAUUAGCUAGUUGGCGGGGUAAAGGCCCACCAAGGCGACGAUCCGUAGCUGGUCUGAGAGGAUGAUAAGCCACACUGGAACUGAGACACGGUCCAGACUCCUACGGGAGGCAGCAGUGGGGAAUAUUGGACAAUGGGCGCGAGCCUGAUCCAGCCAUACCGCGUGGGUGAAGAAGGCCUUCGGGUCGUAAAGCCCUUUUGUUGGGAAAGAAAUCCAGCUGGCUAAUACCCGGUUGGGAUGACGGUACCCAAAGAAUAAGCACCGGCUAACUUCGUGCCAGCCGCCGCCGUAA
rnacentral:rRNA from 1 species